rnacentral:rRNA from 1 species
UACGUAGGGGGCAAGCGUUGUCCGGAUUCAUUGGGCGUAAAGAGCGUGUAGGCGGCCAGGUAGGUCCGUUGUGAAAACUGGAGGCUUAACCUCCAGCUGUCGAUGGAAACCAUCUGGCUAGAGUCCGGAAGAGGAGAGUGGAAUUCCUGGUGUAGCGGUGAAAUGCGCAGAUAUCAGGAAGAACACCCGUGGCGAAGGCGGCUCUCUGGGACGGUACUGACGCUGAGACGCGAAAGCGUGGGGAGCGAACAGG